CUACGGGGUGCUGCAGUGAGGAAUAUUGCACAAUGGGGGAAACCCUGAUGCAGCAACGCCGCGUGGAGGAUGACGCAUUUCGGUGUGUAAACUCCUUUUAUCAGAGAAGAAAAUGACGGUAUCUGAUGAAUAAGCUCCGGCUAACUCCGUGCCAGCAGCCGCGGUAAUACGGAGGGAGCAAGCGUUAUUCGGAAUCACUGGGCGUAAAGGACGCGUAGGCGGGUUUUUAAGUCAGGUGUGAAAUCCUAUGGCUCAACCAUAGAACUGCACUUGAAACUGGGGACCUAGAGUAUGGAAGGGGCAGGUGGAAUUAGUGGUGUAGGGGUAAAAUCCGUAGAUAUCACUAGGAAUACCGAAAGCGAAGGCGACCUGCUGGGACAUUACUGACGCUGAGGCGUGAAAGCGUGGGGAGCAAACAGGAUUAGAUACCCGCGUAGUC
rnacentral:rRNA from 1 species